rnacentral:sRNA from 1 species
AGAAGCCGCAGGGCUACAGAUAGGAAACAGGAGGGAAUAAUCCAGCCAGAAAUUAUCUUGCCCAACCACAGAAGGCAUCAUCUACAUUCUGCUGGGAUCCAUACCAGAGGAGGACAGAAACAGAAGAUAGGAUCAGGACUGGAAACUAAAGCUGUGGUUGUCUUCUGGAUGGAUCAGAAUGCUCUAGAUCAAUGGAACGUGGCAGCUCCAAUUCCAGGAAUCUCAGUGCAGCCUCUCCUGAGAAAACCUUCAAGAAAACCCUCCAGUCAUCGUAACGUGUGUCCUCCAAGCCCUCGGAACUGUGGCUGUGGCUCUGGGGGCUCUAGGAGCUGCCUACUACAUCAUUGAAUCCUUGUGAACAAGCCCCUAGGCCCACGGUCCGGCAGAUCCAGUUUCCAUCAAAGGACCUCUCUUGUCACCAAAAUUUAAAAAAAG